rnacentral:lncRNA from 1 species
AUACAAUUAAGUUCCAGCCAAUGAGACUUGAGUGGAAGUAAGAUGAAAUCUCUGUGGCGUGCCUUUAAAAGGAUAGGGAAAUAUCCUUUCUGUAAAUCUUUUCUUCUCUCCGGCUGCCUAGAAUAUACACAAAAUGACAAGAGUUCCAGCUCUUCCUGAUACCACGAGCAGCCUUGGAAAUGGAAACCAUGCAUGGCCCCUGAACUACACUUCUUCCAAGCCUGAACCAAGCACAAAAAAGUAGAAUGUGCCCUCUCAUCAGCUUCUCCUGGGAAUCACCCAACCACACAAAGUAUUAAAGCUCUGAAAACUCCUGGAUCUUCUGGCAAGCUUUUUUGUGACAGCUGUAGCAACCAACAAGCAUUGUUACUUCAAGGAAGCAAAGUGUGCAUAUAAA